GAAAGGCGCUUUUGCGUCACUGAUGGAUGGACCCGCGGUGCAUUAGCUAGUUGGUGAGGUAACGGCUCACCAAGGCAACGAUGCAUAGCCGACCUGAGAGGGUGAUCGGCCACAUUGGGACUGAGACACGGCCCAAACUCCUACGGGAGGCAGCAGUAGGGAAUCUUCGGCAAUGGACGGAAGUCUGACCGAGCAACGCCGCGUGAGUGAAGAAGGUUUUCGGAUCGUAAAACUCUGUUGUUAGAGAAGAACAAGGAUGAGAGUAGAAUGUUCAUCCCUUGACGGUAUCUAACCAGAAAGCCACGGCUAACUACGUGCCAGCAGCCGCGGUAAUACGUAGGUGGCAAGCGUUGUCCGGAUUUAUUGGGCGUAAAGCGAGCGCAGGCGGUUUCUUAAGUCUGAUGUGAAAGCCCCCGGCUCAACCGGGGAGGGUCAUUGGAAACUGGGAAACUUGAGUGCAGAAGAGGAGAGUGGAAUUCCAUGUGUAGCGGUGAAAUGCGUAGAUAUAUGGAGGAACACCAGUGGCGAAGGCGGCUCUCUGGUCUGUAACUGACGCUGAGGCUCGAAAGCGUGGGGAGCAAACAGGAUUAGAUACCCUGGUAGUCCACGCCGUAAACGAUGAGUGCUAAGUGUUGGAGGGUUUCCGCCCUUCA
rnacentral:rRNA from 1 species